rnacentral:lncRNA from 1 species
UAUUCUCUGUUCUUUAUAUCUGAACACCCCAGUAUUCUCUGUUCUUUAUAUCUUAACACCCCAGUAUUCUCUGUUCUUUAUAUCUGAACACCCCAGUAUUCUCUAUUCUUUAUAUCUGAACACCCCAGUAUUCUCUAUUCUUUAUAUCUUAACACCCCAGUAUUCUCUGUUCUUUAUAUCUGAACACCCCAGUAUUCUCUGUUCUUUAUAUCUGAACACCCCAGUAUUCUCUGUUCUUUAUAUCUGAACACCCCAGUAUUCUCUGUUCUUUAUAUUUUAGCACC